UGCAAGUCGAGCGGACAGAUGGGAGCUUGCUCCCUGAUGUUAGCGGCGGACGGGUGAGUAACACGUGGGUAACCUGCCUGUAAGACUGGGAUAACUCCGGGAAACCGGGGCUAAUACCGGAUGGUUGUUUGAACCGCAUGGUUCAAACAUAAAAGGUGGCUUCGGCUACCACUUACAGAUGGACCCGCGGCGCAUUAGCUAGUUGGUGAGGUAACGGCUCACCAAGGCAACGAUGCGUAGCCGACCUGAGAGGGUGAUCGGCCACACUGGGACUGAGACACGGCCCAGACUCCUACGGGAGGCAGCAGUAGGGAAUCUUCCGCAAUGGACGAAAGUCUGACGGAGCAACGCCGCGUGAGUGAUGAAGGUUUUCGGAUCGUAAAGCUCUGUUGUUAGGGAAGAACAAGUACCGUUCGAAUAGGGCGGUACCUUGACGGUACCUAACCAGAAAGCCACGGCUAACUACGUGCCAGCAGCCGCGGUAAUACGUAGGUGGCAAGCGUUGUCCGGAAUUAUUGGGCGUAAAGGGCUCGCAGGCGGUUUCUUAAGUCUGAUGUGAAAGCCCCCGGCUCAACCGGGGAGGGUCAUUGGAAACUGGGGAACUUGAGUGCAGAAGAGGAGAGUGGAAUUCCACGUGUAGCGGUGAAAUGCGUAGAGAUGUGGAGGAACACCAGUGGCGAAGGCGACUCUCUGGUCUGUAACUGACGCUGAGGAGCGAAAGCGUGGGGAGCGAACAGGAUUAGAUACCCUGGUAGUCCACGCCGUAGACGAUGAGUGCUAAGUGUUAGGGGGUUUCCGCCCCUUAGUGCUGCAGCUAACGCAUUA
rnacentral:rRNA from 1 species